rnacentral:misc_RNA from 1 species
CCAGUCUAAAUGAACUGAAAAUCAAAAAAAAGUUCUUUGAAAAGUAGAUAAACAACGUAAAUUCUCAAAAUA